rnacentral:rRNA from 2 species
CAAGGAAGGCAGCAGGCGCGCAAAUUACCCACUCCCGGCACGGGGAGGUAGUGACGAAAAAUAACGAUACGGGACUCAUCCGAGGCCCCGUAAUCGGAAUGAGUACACUUUAAAUCCUUUAACGAGGAUCAAUUGGAGGGCAAGUCUGGUGCCAGCAGCCGCGGUAAUUCCAGCUCCAAUAGCGUAUAUUAAAGUUGUUGCGGUUAAAAAGCUCGUAGUCGAAUCUGUGUCGUGCGCCGCCGGUUCAUCGCUCGCGGUGUCAACUGGCGUGUCGCAGGACGUCCUGCCGGUGGACUUAGCCGCGUCGUCGUCUCGCGCGGCGUCGUGGCGGUCCAACUUCAACAAUCCCACCGCGGUGCUCUUCGCUGAGUGUCGAGGUGGGCCGGCACGUUUACUUUGAACAAAUUAGAGUGCUUAAAGCAGGCUAAAAUUUCGCCUGAAUACUGUGUGCAUGGAAUAAUGGAAUAGGACCUCGGUUCUAUUUUGUUAGUUUUCGGAGCCCCGAGGUAAUGAUUAAUAGGAACGGAUGGGGGCAUUCGUAUUGCGACGUUAGAGGUGAAAUUCUUGGAUCGUCGCAAGACGGACUUAAGCGAAAGCAUUUGCCAAAAACGCUUUCAUUGAUCAAGAACGAAAGUUAGAGGUUCGAAGGCGAUCAGAUACCGCCCUAGUUCUAACCAUAAACGAUGCCAGCUAGCGAUCCGCCGACGUUCCUCCGAUGACUCGGCGGGCAGCUUCCGGGAAACCAAAGCUUUUGGGUUCCGGGGGAAGU